rnacentral:rRNA from 1 species
AACGAACGCUGGCGGCAUGCCUAACACAUGCAAGUCGAACGGGAUCCUAGCUUGCUAGGUGAGAGUGGCGGACGGGUGAGUAACACGUGGGAAUCUGCCUUUUGGUUCGGGAUAACCACGGGAAACUGCGGCUAAUACCGAAUGCCCUCGAGAGAGGAAAGAUUUAUCGCCAGAAGGGGAGCCCGCGUCCGAUUAGGUAGUUGGUGGGGUAAAGGCCUACCAAGCCGACGAUCGGUAGCUGGUCUGAGAGGAUGAUCAGCCACACUGGGACUGAGAUACGGCCCAGACUCCUACGGGAGGCAGCAGUGGGGAAUAUUGGACAAUGGGGGCAACCCUGAUCCAGCAAUGCCGCGUGAGUGAUGAAGGCCUUAGGUUGUAAAGCUCGUAAGCAGGAGAAGAAUACAUGACGGUAUCCUGUGUAAGCCCCGGCUAACUCCGUGCCAGCAGCCGCGGUAAU